GUAGGACUACCCGCUGAACUUAAGCAUAUCAAUAAGCGGAGGAAAAGAAACUAACAAGGAUUCCCCUAGUAACUGCGAGUGAAGCGGGAAAAGCUCAAAUUUAAAAUCUGGCGGUCUUUGGCCGUCCGAGUUGUAGUCUGGAGAAGCGUCUUCCGCGUUGGACCGUGUACAAGUCUCUUGGAACAGAGCGUCAUAGAGGGUGAGAAUCCCGUCUUUGACACGGACUACCAAUGCUUUGUGAUGCGCUCUCAAAGAGUCGCGUUGUUUGGGAAUGCAGCGCAAAAUGGGAGGUGAAUUCCUUCUAAAGCUAAAUAUUGGCGAGAGACCGAUAGCGAACAAGUACCGUGAGGGAAAGAUGAAAAGCACUUUGGAAAGAGAGUUAAACAGUACGUGAAAUUGCUAAAAGGGAAACGCUUGAAGUCAGUCGCGUCGUCCGGAACUCAGCUUUGCUUCGGCUUAGUGCACUUUCCGGUUGACGGGCCAGCAUCGAUUUUGACCGCUGGAAAAGGGCUGGAGGAAUGUGGCACCUUCGGGUGUGUUAUAGCCUUCAGUCGCAUACAGCGGUUGGGAUCGAGGAACGCAGCGCGCCUUAUGGCUGGGGUUCGCCCACAUUCGCGCUUAGGAUGCUGGCAUAAUGGCUUUAAACGACCCGUCUUGAAACACGGACCAAGGAGUCUAACAUGCCUGCGAGUGUUUGGGUGGG
rnacentral:rRNA from 1 species